rnacentral:misc_RNA from 3 species
AACGCACCUUGCGCCCCUUGGUCAUUCCGAGGGGCAUGCCUGUUUGAGUAUCAUGAACACUUCAACUCUCACGGUUCGCCGUGGUGAGCUUGGACUUUGGGGGUUUUGCUGGCCUUUGCGGUCGGCUCCUCUCAAACGGAUCAGCUUGCCAGCGUUUGGGGGCAUCGUAGGUGUGAUAACUAUCUACGCCUGCGGUCGUCUGCCAUGUAACCUUUGGUAACGGAGGUUCGCUGGGGCUUAUGAAAGCCCGAGGACGGCAUUUUGAACGUUCGAUCUCAAAUCAGGUAGGACUACCCGCUGAACUUAA